rnacentral:rRNA from 1 species
UACGAAGGGUGCAAGCGUUACUCGGAAUUACUGGGCGUAAAGGGUGCGUAGGUGGUUUGUUAAGUCUGCUGUGAAAUCCCCGGGCUCAACCUGGGAAUGGCAGUGGAUACUGGCAAGCUAGAGUGCGGUAGAGGGUAGUGGAAUUCCCGGUGUAGCAGUGAAAUGCGUAGAGAUCGGGAGGAACACCAGUGGCGAAGGCGGCUACCUGGACCAGCAUUGACACUCAAGCACGAAAGCGUGGGGAGCAAACAGG